AAUAGAUACCCGGGUAGUCCACGCCGUAAACGAUGAGUGCUAGGUGUUGGUGGGGACACCCAUCAGUGCCGCAGCUAACGCAUUAAGCACUCCGCCUGGGGAGUACGGUCGCAAGACUGAAACUCAAAGGAAUUGACGGGGACCCGCACAAACAGCGGAGCAUGUGGUUUAAUUCGACGCAACGCGAAGAACCUUACCAGGGCUUGACAUCCCUCUGACCGGAUUAGAGAUAGUCCUUUCUCUUCGGAGACAGAGGAGACAGGUGGUGCAUGGUUGUCGUCAGCUCGUGUCGUGAGAUGUUGGGUUAAGUCCCGCAACGAGCGCAACCCUUGCCUUUAGUUGCCAUCAGGUAAAGCUGGGCACUCUAGAGGGACUGCCGGUGACAAACCGGAGGAAGGUGGGGAUGACGUCAAAUCAUCAUGCCCCUUAUGUCCUGGGCUACACACGUGCUACAAUGGUCGGUACAACGGGAAGCGAGACUGCGAAGUUUAGCCAAUCCCAAUAAGCCGAUCCCAGUUCGGA
rnacentral:rRNA from 1 species